AAAAGCAUAGUAAGAAAGCACUUGAAAGGACCAAAGAAGAGAUGCCUGUUGCAACAGGUAGAUGUGACACAGGUGGAACACUCUAACUGCAGCAAUACUCAGCAAUACUAAGGCAAAAGCAAUAGGAUGCACCAAGAUACUUAAACCCAACUGAUUUCCCAGCAAAUGACACAGCACAGUAGUGGUCAGAUCAGAGAACAAUGAAGAUUUGGCUUGAACAUGAUGUUAGCUCAGAAAAAGAUCAUUAAUGGAAGAUGCUGGGGAGAGUUACAGACAAGACUUAACAAGCAUCUAAAGAAAGACUGGACUACAGGACAACUGUGUAUCCUGCAGUCUGUGUACAUGAAGAAAUACAUCCAUAGAAAUGGCUGGAAACAAAAAACACAUGACUACCUAAUACUGCAUGAAGCUUCAGAAAUUUUUCCAUGGACCGCAGGCCAGGACCUGGUCAUCUAUCACCCUUAGA